AUGAUAUUUAACAUGAGUUUUAAAAGGAUAAUAAGUUACCAAUUGCAAUGUAAAAUAGUUCCAUUAUGAAAACUUUAUGCAUGCUUGUCAAAAAAGCAAUAGGCAAGUGUCAUUGUGUAUAUGGUAUUUGUGUUCUUAUUGUUAUUUCAACACAUUAUAUCUAAAAUUUACAUUUUUUAAUGUGCAUUUUUUUCACUUGAUGUACACAGGAGAAAUCUGUUGCCACUA
rnacentral:misc_RNA from 1 species